rnacentral:lncRNA from 1 species
AGUUCUCAUACAUUCUGAAUUAAAGAGUACUUUUUGAUGUUUUCGCAGGAUGUUUCGUAUAUCUGGUAACAUUUUGGAAUUGAGUGAAAGACACAUGAAAUAAUACGGUGUCCUAGAUAGAUGUGCUAAAUCAAGGAGAAAAUGCCAGGCAUCUGAUCAAAAAUCAAUGUUCCUGAGAGGACAGCCAAUAUUGGCAGCAAAGAUGUUUCCAGACAGUUUGCAGAACAAGUACAGUUCAAUCCAGAGUCAGCUGUAUUCUAUCUUGAGGUAUCGAACAAAGUAGAAGAGAAGAUCUCUCAAGUUACAGAUUCUGGUCUACAGAACAGGAGAUUUGUCAAAUGAAUUCAUGGUCUCGGCAAUACUGCUCAAGAAACCGCAGGAAAAAAUACCAACAAAGUGCAGUCCUAUUCUGACUACAUCUCUAUACCCAAGGACCAGACUAAGUAUGACCAGGUUUGAUAAAGGAGAAAACAAGUUCUAAGAUGUGUACAGUCACUAUCAUUUGAAGAGGAAGAGAGAUUUUCAUUGGUUCUUGGUCAGCCAAUGGGAGGACAGAUUGGAAAAGAUAGAGAGACUGUGAUUGUGAUUGGACAGACACCAGCAAAUUCAGUUCAAUACUAAGCUGAUGGUAAUUUUCCUUUUAUUAAAUUGAAAUGAUAAAAAGACCGAUAUGUUUGUAAAGUAAAUCUGAAAUAGAUUUAUUUCAAAAGCUCUAAUUAAUAAGACAAAAAUUCGUAUAGAUGGAUAUCUUAGAUAUCCAAUAUUCUUUUUUUUGUGAUAUCCUUAAAUCAUCAUAAGAUAUCUUUAUAAAUCAUUAAUUUAUGGUAUCACAGAAAUACAAAACUGUAUUAAGUCAAUUUAAGUGAGAUCAUUAAUUACACUUUAUUUUAAGAUAUCACAAAUUACAUUUGAUGAAAUGAUAAAAAAUAAGUUAAGGAUACCACAAAAACUGUAAAUAAGCUGUAGAACAAGACCCGAUACAACAGAACAAAAAGAGCUGAGAACUAUAAAAAAAAUGGUAGUUUCUGAAUAACUACAAAGUUUGAGAAGAGUUUGUGAUGUCUUAUGAAGUUAAAUUACCAUUGCUUAUAAUCUCAAAAACUGCAGAAAUUGUUGAUUUUCUCAUGGAACUUGUGCACAAAUGAAAAGAAAAUGGAAGACUUUUUCCUCUCGGGUCAGGAACUUGAUAACAGGGAUAAAUUGUUACAAAUUUUAAGCAUAUGGAUUUAAUAAAGCAAACAUUUGAGAUAAUUCUAUCAUCCUAUCUAUUAACAAACCUCUUGUGUAGCCAAAUCUUAUUUCUAAAAUAUUACCAGUAUUACCAGUGCACCAAAUGGUUUACAUAAAGGAUAGGUUUCAGUAUCAAAUUUUACAAAAAACAAAGACAAACAGAAUGUGUGAUUUCAUUCAUAUUUUUCAAACAAGCAUAGUUAAGUGGGUACUGUGAGACUGAAGCUGGUUUGAAGUGAAUAUUGUAUUGUUGAGUGUAUUAUUUAUUCUGUAUCGCAGGUACAAGUGUUUUCUCUAACUUGAACCAAUUAUGUAAUUUUGAAUGGUUUUAAACACAAAAACUUUAAUGAAACAAAAACAAAAGAUUUGACAAUACAAAUCAUUCAUUUACAAACACAAUCUAUUGACUAUUGUAUCAGUUGAACAAUUAAUUUUCGUCAGUUAUGUAAUUUUGAAUGGUUUUAAACACAAAAACUUUAAUGAAACAAAAACAAAAGAUUUAACAAUACGACCAUUUGUUUACAAACACAGUCUAUUGACUAUUGUAUCAGUUGAACAAUUAAAUAUAUGCUGAGUCAGGAAGUUAUCAUUUUUCAUGCCUAAAAGUGAUGUUACUUCCAGUUUGUUGUGGUACUUUAUAGGGAGGUUACCACCUACUGAUUAUCUAAUGCUACAUUUAUCCUGUAUGUUAAACUUAUUUCAUACUGUUCAGUUUUGAUACAGUUUUGCAAUGAUACAGAAUGUCAUAAAGAUAAUUAUGCCAAAAACAAAAACUGUGACACACUAAUAUACAUUAUUUGUAUAUUAUGCAACACAAACCUUCACAUUAAACAAAAAAUAAAAAUAUGAAACAGAAAUAAUAUUUUUAGAAUGAGAAUUUUCGCUUAAACUAACAAUAAAUUGUGUAUACAUUUAAAAAAGGAAGAUUUGUAGACCUUUAUGAAGCCACUUUUGAUGACUUGAAUUUCAUUUUAUGUUUUUAUGUUUUGUAAGAAUCUGUUAUAUUUGACAUAAAUAAUUCAGGGAAAGAUAUAAAGUUGAACUUGCCAAAGCAGUUACUUGUAUCAAGCAGCCAGGCCACUUGCUUUAAGCAGUCAGUCUGCUAUCUUUUCAAACUGAUCUUUUGUUCUGAUUUCAGCCUGACUUCAUCAGCCACAUUAUUUCACUCCAUUGGCUAACUGCUUAGUACAAGUUUGUACAUUGUUUUAAAAAGAUAAAGCUCUUUUUUCCUUUGAUAUCUUAUUAAUAAUUGAAUACUUCAGGCAACUUGCUGUAGAGAAGUCUAUUUUUAAAGAAUCUAAUAAUCAGUUUCUAUAACCAGUUAUGUACAGUACAACCUCUCAAGAAUGAACCCACUUUAAAGACCAUAAUUUGUCUAUUUUACAGUGGUUGUUAUAGAUACUGUGAAAUCUUUAAAUUUCAUGGACACAUAACUUUGUGGUUUUGAUCGAAAUGGCAGCAGUACUUGGUGGAGAUAGGAAUUCAUGGAUUUAAAAUCUUAAAACAUGAACUGGUUUGGAAUUUUACUUGCUCAUUGGGAUUUUCAAAACUCAAUCACAAAAUUUACGCAACGAAAAUGAAUGAUUUAAUAGUAUUUUAUAUGAUCAUUAGAGCUGUACUCCAUAAUCAGCCAAGAAUCAAAUCAUCUCUUGUAUGCUUAAAUAAUUAUAUUCAAGAUAAAUGAGGUGACACUAUACUAUCAGGUAUGCUGACAUCUAUUUUCUUGUUUACCUGCAGAAAAUAUUUCACAGAUAAUUACAAAAAACAUACCAUACAAAAAUAAGGCAGUUUUCUUUCUUGAACCAGUCUGUCAGUCUUCUUUCUUGAACCAGUCUGUCAGUCUUCUUUCUUGAACCAGUCUGUCAGUUUGAUAAAUGACUGAUAAUCAUUGAAAAACAUUGCAGAAAAAAGAAUAAUGCAUACAGCAUAUUGCAUGAUGGUGCAGCAUUAAAGUUGUAUUUUGUUUUGGAGGUAAUUGAUGUUUUCGGAGUUCCUUAGUUAAUUGCUGAAUUGAUAAUCAUUGAAGAAAUGUAGGAAAAUAUUAUAAAGCAAUAGCACAUGCAUAUAUUGCAGGAUUGUGCAGCACUGAAAAAUAUGUUUGUUUUUGAGAAUUUUUUGAACAAGAAAAAAAUGGGUCCAGUUAUGUAUAAAAACUCUGUUAUUUAUACUUUAUUACUGAAAAGAAGGCUGUAGCAAUUUUUUAUGAUAAGGCUAUGACAUUUUUGUUUAUAACCUGUACCCUGCUAAAUUUCUAAAAUGCACUUGUCCAUCUUUCAGUUUGGAUGGUACCAUUAACUGUUAAAAGGGGUGCAUACCAAAAAGAUACUGACUGAAUGGCGGACAGUGCAGAUCAUGAUCAGACUGCACGAAUGUGCAGGCUGAUAAUGAUCUACACUGGUCACAAAGGCAGAAUCAAUCAUGUCCAAAAUAAUAAGGGUUAAAAAUAGCAUAGAGUUGCUUAGU